rnacentral:rRNA from 1 species
GACGAACGCUGGCGGCGUGCUUAACACAUGCAAGUCGAACGGAAAGGCCCUGCUUUUGUGGGGUGCUCGAGUGGCGAACGGGUGAGUAACACGUGAGUAACCUGCCCUUGACUUUGGGAUAACUUCAGGAAACUGGGGCUAAUACCGGAUAGGAGCUCCUGCUGCAUGGUGGGGGUUGGAAAGUUUCGGCGGUUGGGGAUGGACUCGCGGCUUAUCAGCUUGUUGGUGGGGUAGUGGCUUACCAAGGCUUUGACGGGUAGCCGGCCUGAGAGGGUGACCGGCCACAUUGGGACUGAGAUACGGCCCAGACUCCUACGGGAGGCAGCAGUGGGGAAUAUUGCACAAUGGGCGGAAGCCUGAUGCAGCAACGCCGCGUGCGGGAUGGCGGCCUUCGGGUUGUAAACCGCUUUCGCCUGUGACGAAGCGUGAGGGACGGUAAUGGGUAAAGAAGCACCGGCGAACUACGU